UCGUGGAAUGGUCUGUCAGGUUAAUUCCGAUAACGCACGAGACUUCGGCUUUUAUUUAGCACAUGCUUUUCCAAAGCAAUGUUGUUCACUUGUGGUCGCAAGCUAUAGGUGGACUCGCUUCUGAAAGGGACUGCAAACGUUACAGUUUGAGGAGGGACGAAGCUAUAACA
rnacentral:rRNA from 1 species